rnacentral:tRNA from 1 species
GCCCGGGUGACGGAAUUGGCAGACGUAGCGGACUUAAAAUCCGUGGCCCUUCGGGGCGUGCAGGUUCGAACCCUGCCCCGGGCA